AUGACUUCCUGGAGGAUCUCUUGCUCUGCAAGAGUUGCUGUGGCCUUCUCUAAUGUCCUUGCCUUGCUCCAGGUGAGGAAUGCCAUCCAGAGGAUGAAGGACAAGAAGAAAGCACUCUCAUUCACAAACUGCUCUCAUCCCAUCAACUACUUAUCAAGUCCAAGAAACACAACCUCCUGGGAGACCGGGAAACUGAGUCCUGCAGCUGAGAGUGCCUUGUCGAGCCCUGUGCAGAAAGAUCCACCAGUGAAGAACAUCACCAACAAAGGCAACUUUGGAGCCAAAAUUCCCAUGGGGAUUUCAUCAAUUAUGUCACCAGAGAGACCGGCCGUAGAGCUGACAGCAUUCAAAUCCUCAGGUAACAUUUGCCUACCUCAUUUCAAUAAUUGUUGUUACCACUGAUACUGCUUUCUCUGGUUGCAUCAUGGAGCGUGGAUCGGCGGGUGGAGGGCGGGUUAUUUUUACCAAGACUUUAGGGAGUGUUUUAUUUCCAAACUGCCCUGGUGGCUGCAGUCCUGGCAAGGCUGUUGAGGGAUCCACGUCGCCCUGAACAGGGCGGCAGCAGGAGGUGAAAGGUGGGUGCAUGAAGGCCCUGCAGUACUGCCUCCCCGCAGCACCCAGCAGGCUCUGGAAGGCAGCAGAGAUGCAGUGGGCACGGCAGGCAGCCCUGGCAGGGACCAGGCUGCUUUCAGGAGCCCCAACAGCUCCCUGCUGCCACAGGGUAUUUUAAAGCAGCAGCUGCCUCAGAAGGCGCUGGCGGGUGUUAGAAGUGACUUUCUCCCAAAGAAGGGAAGCCGGGGAAGGUGGGGUGUUCAGACAGGGAUGGAUUUAUGAGCUUAAAAGCAGCCAUUUAGCUUCUUCUGUUUCAGGUUGUAGAAAGGCCAAUGUCACCGUGGAGGUGGGUAGAAUUCAAAAGAGAAAUCCCUCCUAAGCCCCAGAGCUCUGCUCGACAGCAGCAGUGCCCUGUUCCCUCCCUGCCUUUCCUGCCUGGCUUUGGCCAACUCCCCAGCUCCCCUGUGCAUGGGUGUAGCAUAUUUUGGUUGUUUGUGGCGUAUUUUUUUUUAAUCCAUCACCAAUGAGUACUCCAAGCACUCUCGGUGCAGUCGCUGGAUGGGGUCACUCAAACAGAUAGUGCAGCGAAGACGCAGCGGGGAUGGACUGAUGUUAUUUUUCCUGCAUUGUUACAUUUUCUUUUGUCAAGGGAUGCAGUGCAUUAGCAGGUUUCUGAUUUUGCUCCACAUUAAGUGUCUAAGCAGGGCAUGCUUAGACUGUUUUCGAGAAGAUGCCACCCAGAAGCAUUACAGCUUUCCUCCCCACACUGGACACAUGAGCGAGGCAGAAACAGUGGCACCCAGGAAUAAAUGUGCUGCGGCAUUUCA
rnacentral:lncRNA from 1 species